GACUUUUAUAAAAUAAAAACUGCAAAUUUUUAUAACUUAAAAAUUAAGAAAGGUCU
rnacentral:tRNA from 1 species